AGUGCUCAAUUAACCGCACCUGAUUAGCGGUCAACACAGCAGCGCGAGCUGAGCUCCUCAACCAAAACACCACAUUUCAUCCCCAGUAACUCACUGAUAUCUACAGUUUAUGAUCGACUGGAGAUGGUCUGUUGUGUGUUGAGGGAAUGCUGUACUGUGCACUGGAUGCUGAUGAAAUACAGACGGACCCAUCAAGAUCUGCUGUUUGGAUCCAGGAACAAUAGCAGCUCGUCAGUGCCGGCUCUGGAGGAGUUUGCGUGAUCUCCCCCUCCAGAGGACGCUGGAAUUUAAGCCGUCUCGGUUUCAGACGGUGUGUGAUCGGCGGGGUGGAGGAGAAGGUGGAGGAGCUCUGGGCGGUGGAGGAGGAGGUGGCAGCGAUCAGAAGGACGUCAGAAGGAUUAAAGUCAGGAUUUACGGGAUGCUAACGGAGGAGUGACAUCACCGCUGGCGGUGUUUUCUCAGGGGAUGAGAUAAAUCAGGCGAGAGGAUUAACUCACUCUAAACAGAGGCGGGGUUAAUCUGAUGAGGUAAUGAUGAUGCAGGUUUUAGUUUAAGAAUAAAGUGAGGUGAGAAGUUUAACCCGCCUCCAUCAUUACAUCAUCACACUCACUACUAAACCCUUCAACACACUCAGCAUCACUACUGCCAGCAUCACUAUUAUACACAGAUCUGAGAUCUGCCUUCAACAUGCUGAUACAUCCAUACAGUACAGCAGUGCAUCUCAGAAAAUUACAAUAUUACUAUAACAAUUACUUUAUUUCAGUAAUUACUGAUUUUAUUACUGAUGAUUAGGAAAAAUGUGAAAAUUAGAAUAUUAUUUUAGACCAAUUUGUACUUUCUGCAGUAUGGGCAGUGUGCCAAGUCCUGCUGGAAAACAAAAUCUGCAUCUUAUAAAAGUUGUUCUCAGCAGAGGGAAGCUGUAAGGUAUGAAGUGCUGUAAGAUUUUAAGGCUUUAGACUUGAUAAUAAAACACAGUGGAUCAACACCAGCAGAUCACAUGUCUCUCUAAACUAUUAUGAAUAUGCAGAUUUCAUUUUCCAGCAGUAUUUGGCACACAGCCCACGCUGGCAAACGACGCCCUCUGCCAACCAACGACGAUGACCCCUAGCUGCCAAUGCCAGCCAAUGACGGCCCCCAGCUGCCAACGCCGCCCCCCCCAGCCAACGACGGUCCCCAGCUGCCAAUGCCAACCAACAAACCC